GAAAUGCGAUACUUGGUGUGAAUUGCAGAAUUCAGUGAAUCAUCGAAUCUUUGAACGCACAUUGCGCCCGCCAGUAUUCUGGCGGGCAUGCCUGUUCGAGCGUCAUUUCAACCAUCAAGCCCCGGGCUUGUGUUGGGGACCUGCGGCUGCCGCAGGCCCUGAAAAGCAGUGGCGGGCUCGCUGUCACACCGAGCGUAGUAGCAUACAUCUCGCUCUGGGCGUGCUGCGGGUUCCGGCCGUUAAACCACCUUUUAACCCAAGGUUGACCUCGGAUCAGGUAGGGAUACCCGCUGAACUUAA
rnacentral:misc_RNA from 1 species